AUGUGACACUCCCCAAUAACUAUGGCCUGAAUCAAGCUGAAAGGGGAAAGAUCACGAAAUACCAAGACGUCAACAAUGACCUACGAACAACAUGGUCAUUGAAAGACAUCGAUAUCAUACCAAAGGUGGUGGGGGCAACAGGCCUUAUGAAGAUGAACCUGAAGAAAUACUUUGAGGCAAUCCUGGCCACCCAAGAGAGCCCUUGGAUCCACUGCCAAUAAUGUUUAGGGUGGAACUAUCGACCCCAGGUCUGGGGCCCGUUGCAUUCUAUUAAAAUGAAAUCCAACAGAAAUAAAACAGGUGGCUCAGUGUGACUGAAGAUUUAGACUAAAAGGUUGUGUGAAGGUGUGAUGUGUUUGGAUGUUCAUGGUGUUUAACCUGUCAGCAAGGUGUUGCAACAGGACUCCCGACACAGACACCAUCUCACACCUCGACUACUGCAACACCUUGCUGACAGGUUAAACACCAUGAACAUCCAAACACAUCACACCUUCACACAACCUUUUAGUC